rnacentral:lncRNA from 1 species
CUGGAGCUCACUCUGUAGUCCAGGAUGGCCUUGAACAUAAGGCAAUCUUCCUGUCUCAGACUUUCAAGAGCUUGUACUGCAGCCAAAAGUUGCAGUCAUAAGUUCCCGAAACAGGGGAGCUACACAGCAGGAGGAUUGCUUCAAGGGCAGCUUGGACUACACAGCUUGAACCUGUCUCAACAUCUCCUAGAAGCCUCCCCACCUCCAGUUCCCCCCUAUAGUCUUGUCUUUCUAUCCUGCUUCAAGUGUUUGUAGCCUCUGGUUGACCAUACUUCCCUGCAAAAAGCCAUUGUUUUG